GGAGCUGUGGCUGUGUGAAGUUGUCUCCGGACACUGGACAAGGCUUUCACCUGGUCGUGCAUAAAAGCCUUGAGGCAUCAGAUGGUCUCCUGCCUGCCCUGUGUACCAUAUAAACUGUGAGGAAGCAAAUCAGUAAGCUGCCAAACUUUUGGAAGAAGACACCUCCCCUGUCUCCUCCAGAGCUCUCCGACUAGGCUAUGAUGAGAACUUCAGCACCAACAGUCACAGUGAGAUUCCACCUCAAUUGGCUCUUACCUCCAGAAGACAGCAGAAAAGGUUGUUGAUGCAGGAAACCACCAGACUCAAUUCCAAUGCAGCCAAGAUUCACACUGCGAUCAGUUGCCCCCCCUACUCACAGGAAUCCCUCAGCUCAGUCUCCAGCACACACAGCCCCAUCUCCAUCUCAGAAGAGAUCUUUAAGCCCCCAAACAAACCACUGCCUCAUCCCCACAUGAGCGACCUGCCCUGAUCCUCGUUCCUUUUCCCUCCCUCCCUGGCUGUACCACACUGAACCGGUAUUUCUUUCCCUCCUCACAUAACCAUAUCCAAACACAGUAAUAAUCCUGCAUAGGAAAACCGUCUGCAGUGCCCAGGGACUGCUCUUCCCCAGUUGCAGCACAGUGCACCACAGUGUCAUGGUGUCAUCACUGAUGUAGUGCUGCACACUAUACAACAAUCAGCAGAAAGCACAGGAGGUCCACCUUUCUCCAGGAGCGGUCCGGGUCCUGGAAAGGCUGGAGCCGCAUCAAGCAGGCUGGGACAUAUUCAAGCACGUCACUGAGACCAACAGGCAGCAGCAAGAGCUGCAGAGGCAGCCGCCCUGGAGGAGGACCCAGAGAGAGCAGUGCGUCCA